GACGAACGCUGGCGGCGUGCUUAACACAUGCAAGUCGAACGGAAAGGCCCUGCUCUUGUUGGGUGCUCGAGUGGCGAACGGGUGAGUAACACGUGAGUAACCUGCCCUUAACUGUGGGAUAACUUCAGGAGACUGGGGCUAAAACCGGAUAGGAGCUCCUGCUGCAUGGUGGGGGUUGGAAAGUUUCGGCGGUGUGGGAUGGACUCGCGGCUUAUCAGCUUGUUGGUGGGGUAGUGGCUUACCAAGGCUUUGACGGGUAGCCGGCCUGAGAGGGUGACCGGCCACAUGGGGACUGAGAUACGGCGCAGACUCCUACGGGAGGCAGCAGUGGGGAAUAUUGCACAAUGGGCGGAAGCCUGAUGCAGCAACGCCGCGUGCGGGAUGACGGCCUUCGGGUUGUAAACCGCUUUCGCCUGUGACGAAGCGUGAGUGACGGUAAUGGGUAAAGAAGCACCGGCUAACUACGUG
rnacentral:rRNA from 1 species